rnacentral:pre_miRNA from 1 species
AAAAAAACAAACCCUGAUUUCCGUGUCCAACUUUUGACCAUCCGUCUUAUUUAAAAAAAUUAUAAAAAAAUUAAAAAGACAAGUUACGCAUAAAAUAUUAAUCAUGUUUUAUCAUCUAACAACAAUAAAAAUUCAAAUUAUAAAAUAAUUUCAUAUAAGACGGACAGUCAAAGUUGGACACGGAAAUCUAGAGUUUGUCUUUUU